rnacentral:rRNA from 1 species
UACGUAGGUGGCAAGCGUUGUCCGGAUUUACUGGGCGUAAAGAGUGCGCAGGCGGUCGUUCAAGUCGCGUGUGAAAGCCCCCGGCUCAACUGGGGAGGGUCACGCGAUACUGAUCGACUCGAAGGCAGGAGAGGGAAGUGGAAUUCCCGGUGUAGUGGUGAAAUGUGUAGAUAUCGGGAGGAACACCAGUGGCGAAGGCGACUUCCCUGGCCUGUUCUUGACGCUGAGGCGCGAAAGCUAGGGGAGCAAACGGG